GACGAACGCUGGCGGCGUGCCUAAUACAUGCAAGUUGAGCGCUGAAGGUUGGUACUUGUCCCAACUGGAUGAGCAGCGAACGGGUGAGUAACGCGUGGGGAAUCUGCCUUUGAGCGGGGGACAACAUUGGGAAACGAAUGCUAAUACCGCAUAAAAACUUUAAACACAAGUUUUAAGUUUGAAAGAUGCAAUUGCAUCACUCAAAGAUGAUCCCGCGUUGUAUUAGCUAGUUGGUGAGGUAAAGGCUCACCAAGGCGAUGAUACAUAGCCGACCUGAGAGGGUGAUCGGCCACAUUGGGACUGCGACACGGCCCUAACUCCUACGGGAGGCAGCAGUAGGGAAUCUUCGGCAAUGGACGAAAGUCUGACCGAGCAACGCCGCGUGAGUGAAGAAGGUGUUCGGAUCGUAAAACUCUGUUGGUAGAGAAGAACGUUGGUGGGAGUGGAAAGCUCGUCAAGGGACGGUAACUACCCAGAAAGGCCCGGCGACCUACGG
rnacentral:rRNA from 1 species